GCCAGCGGCGAUAGCACGAUGAAUGCAAAAAUUCCUAAUGGAACACUAAAGUUAAGCAACAUUGCGCGUGGUUAGUAUCCCAAUGGGUGACCAUCUGGGCGAUUGCGUGAUGGAUUUU
rfam:Asian citrus Psyllid, Diaphorina citri - Florida Strain, whole genome shotgun sequence.